rnacentral:rRNA from 1 species
AGAGUUUGAUCAUGGCUCAGAUUGAACGCUGGCGGAAUGCUUUACACAUGCAAGUCGAGCGGCAGCGCGGGGCAACCUGGCGGCGAGCGGCGAACGGGUGAGUAAUGCAUCGGAACAUGUCCAUGUCGUGGGGGAUAGCCCGGCGAAAGCCGGAUUAAUACCGCAUACGCCCGAGAGGGGAAAGUGGGGGACCGCAAGGCCUCACGCGAUUGGGUUGGCCGAUGUCCGAUUAGCUAGUUGGCGGGGUAAGAGCCCACCAAGGCGAUGAUCGGUAGCUGGUCUGAGAGGAUGAUCAGCCACACUGGGACUGAGACACGGCCCAGACUCCUACGGGAGGCAGCAGUGGGGAAUUUUGGACAAUGGGGGCAACCCUGAUCCAGCCAUUCCGCGUGAGUGAAGAAGGCCUUCGGGUUGUAAAGCUCUUUUGUCCGGAACGAAACGGUUAGUUCUAAUACGACUGACUACUGACGGUACCGGAAGAAUAAGCACCGGCUAACUACGUGCCAGCAGCCGCGGUAAUACGUAGGGUGCGAGCGUUAAUCGGAAUUACUGGGCGUAAAGCGUGCGCAGGCGGUUUUGUAAGCCAGAUGUGAAAUCCCCGGGCUUAACCUGGGAAUGGCAUUUGGGACUGCAAGGCUGGAGUUUGGCAGAGGAGACUGGAAUUCCUGGUGUAGCAGUGAAAUGCGUAGAUAUCAGGAGGAAUACCGAUGGCGAAGGCAGGUCUCUGGGCUAUAACUGACGCUCAUGCACGAAAGCGUGGGGAGCAAACAGGAUUAGAUACCCUAGUAGUCC